rnacentral:rRNA from 1 species
UACCAUAAUUACACUCGACCCCUUUAAUUGUACUGAGAACUUCUAUAAAAUUAUAGAACUUUUUAUGCUAAAACUAGUAACAAGAGGUAAAACCUCUCUAUAAUGCAAGUAUAAGCCAGCAAGAAUCCGUCACUGUCAACUAACAGACCUAAACAAAAGUAGCAACCCACCCAGAAAACCCUACCUACCUUAACUGUUAACCUAAUACUAGAGCAUUUCAAGAAAGAUUAAAAGAAAGAGAAGGAACUCGGCAAAUAUUAGCCCCGCCUGUUUACCAAAAACAUCGCCUCUUGCUAUUAUAAGAGGUCUAGCCUGCCCAGUGACUUCUGUUCAACGGCCGCGGUAUCCUAACCGUGCGAAGGUAGCGUAAUCACUUGUCUUCUAAAUAGAGACCAGUAUGAAAGGCAUCACGAGGGCUAAACUGUCUCCUCCCCCUAAUCAGUGAACCUAAUCCCCCCGUGAAGAAGCGGGGAUUUUUUUAUAAGACGAGAAGACCCUAUGGAGCUUAAAACAUCACACACCUGCUGCUAUUUUUUAUUUACCCAGGUAUUUCCCCCCCCCGGCAGGCUGAUUAAGUGUUUUUGGUUGGGGUGACCGUGGAGAAAAAUUUAUCCUCCACAAUGAAAGGAAUUACUCCUAAACAGCAAGCUACAACUUUAUGUAUCAGCAAACUGACAUCCAUUGACCCAAUAUAUUGAUUAACGAACCAAGUUACCCUAGGGAUAACAGCGCAAUCCACUUUGAGAGCCCCUAUCGACAAGUGGGCUUACGACCUCGAUGUUGGAUCGGGGUAUCCUAGUGGUGCAGCCG